GGAAGCGUGGCCGAGCGGUUUAAGGCACCGGUCUUGAAAACCGGCGAGGAUGCGAGUCCUCCGUGAGUUCGAAUCUCACCGCUUCCGCCA
rnacentral:tRNA from 3 species